CCAUCCUCACAGGCUGGUCCAGGUUAACCUCCCCCUAGCCCCAGGUUUUGACAGCAUGAAAGGGAGACAUCCUCAUUUUCACCCCUGUUACAUAGGCACCCCCCAGACCUGAUAGGUGGACCUCCUAGAAACUGGGGGUCCUUGAGAGCCAAGGCCCCCACUCUAAGGGACCCUAGAGGCCAGGGCAAAGGCAUACAGACAUGGAGAAAAGCAAUGAUCUCAGCAGGAUCUCCAGGUGGUCCUUAGAGCCGGGCCUGGCGAGGUCUUCCCCACCGCCAUCCCCAGUGGGAUCACAGGUUCCCAGACUUCGGGCCGUAUUGGACUAGUCACCACACCCUUCAUCUCAAACCACACUUUGUUCCAACAAAACCACUUUGUUUUUUAAGUCUCCCUAAGUAUCAGGUUUAUCAUCUUUCUCAUAACCCCAGGGUCCCAACCAUGGUAAGCUCAUGACACCAGGACCUACUUGAUUCAAAAUUCUGGGCCAAGGUCCCCACUCUCUGAGCACAUACUUUAAUGAGGGACCCAGAAGAGGGCUGAGUCAGGGUCAAGGAAGAACAAAGAUGUUGGGAGGCUAGAGGUAUCCCCACUGUUUUCAUACCCACUUCUCUUUGGUGCCUCCGUGGGUUAAGGUCAUACAGGGUGGGUAACGGCAGCUGGUGAGCUCACCCACCUUGGCACAUGACAACG
rnacentral:lncRNA from 1 species